GACGAACUCUUAAUUAGUUAGUCUAUCUUUUACUUUAAUCUUAAAACUCAUUUAAAGUUUGUAACUGGAGCUUAAAGACCACCUUCCGGGGUAAAUUUCCUUAGUUCAAGACAAUGCUGCUGUAUAUAAUAGCUAUAAAUCUUCUAUACACACAAAAAAAAGGCCUAAAGGGGUUAGUCUACUGGAGCCGUGUGACAUCUCAGUUUCAUCCCUUUCUCCCUUGUUUACUUCAUUCAUCAGUCAUCUUUUCUUCAGAUCUCUCUGUCUUCACUCUGGUGUCAUCUGUUCUCUUUUUUCCCUGCGACCAUAGAAACUCAGUCACUCACCCUCAUCGAGUCCGAACCAGAUAUCACACCAUCGAUACGCCUUUCCAGGACCACAGGAGGAUGAAGCGAGAUAGGCGAAUGUCGGUCUACAGCGACUCGUAUGAAUCGCCUGAGAG
ensembl:lncRNA